GUAUUGAGACGAGCUAGUGUAAGGCAUGUCUGGGACAUGCAUCAGCCUCGAGAUAUACAAGCUAGUGUAAGACCUGUUUGGGACAUGGCGUCAACUUGUUGUGUGUCAGUGUAAGACCUGUCUAGGAGAUGGCAUCGACACUGAUGGAUAAGAGCUAGUGUAAGACUUGUCUAGGACAUGGCAUCGGCCUCGAUAUAUGAAAGUUAGUGUAAGACCUGUCUAGGACAUGGCAUCGACUUUGAUGUGUUAGCC
rnacentral:lncRNA from 1 species